UCUACGGGUGGCUGCAGUGGGGAAUAUUGGACAAUGGGGGAAACCCUGAUCCAGCAAUGCCGCGUGUGUGAAGAAGGCCUGCGGGUUGUAAAGCACUUUCGGUUGGGAAGAAAAGUUUGGCGCCAAUACCGCCGAACCUUGACGUUACUGACAGAAGAAGCACCGGCUAACUCUGUGCCAGCAGCCGCGGUAAUACAGAGGGUGCAAGCGUGAGUAAAGAUUGCGGGGCGUAAAGCGUGCGUAGGUGGUGAAAUCCCCGGGCUUAACCUGGGAACUGCAUUCGAUACUACAUGGCUCGAGUAUGGUAGAGGGAAGUGGAAUUUCCGGUGUAGCGGUGAAAUGCGUAGAUAUCGGAAGGAACACCAAUGGCGAAGGCAGCUUCCUGGACUAAUACUGACACUGAGGCACGAAAGCGUGGGUAGCAAACAGGAUUAGAUACCCUAGUAGUC
rnacentral:rRNA from 1 species